rnacentral:rRNA from 1 species
UACGCAGGGGACUAGCGUUGUUCGGAAUCACUGGGCGUAAAGCGCACGUAGGCGGAUUUGUAAGUCAGGGGUGAAAUCCCGGGGCUCAACCUCGGAACUGCCUUUGAUACUGCGAAUCUUGAGUCCGAUAGAGGUGGGUGGAAUUCCUAGUGUAGAGGUGAAAUUCGUAGAUAUUAGGAAGAACACCGGUGGCGAAGGCGGCCCACUGGAUCGGUACUGACGCUGAGGUGCGAAAGCGUGGGGAGCAAACAGG